GAGCGGGACUCCAGAGAUGAGCAGUAAGACGCGAGUCUAGGAGCUGGUGGUGUGCUCUAGCCGGCUUGCGCCCCCUGCUGGAGCUCACGGUCUGCAUCUCCUCUGUUGGUCUGGCGCUUGAGAUCAGCCAUCACAGAAGUAUUUGCAGCAUGGAAGAGAGCAGAUUCUACAGAUUAGGACCAGCCCCUCUCUCCCUGCGAACUGGUUGGCUGCCUCCCGACCCCCACUGGCCUGCUCACAGCAACUCAGGGGCUGGAGAAAACUCAACAGGCUUUUCCAGACUUGAGUGGAGGUGCUUGCAGGAAACCUUUAAUUCACAGACAUGCACUAAGUGGAGAAUUUCAGCUCCUGCUUCUUUAUGUGAAUACACCUGGACUAGCCUCCUGGAGGAUGAGAGGCUAUGGAGCUGAAGCAUCAGCCAAGACCCUCAUAAACCAACCAGUCCUCAGCUGACCUGCAGGAUGGCCCAGCAAUGCAUCUGCUCAGGAGCAGAAAGAAAGGGCAGUGGGAUGGUCUGAAGUAGAACAGAAGAAUGGGGAGACACUGUGAAGCUGUGUCCCAAGAAGACCUUCCCUGCAUCUGGAAAUCUGAGCUGACCGGCUCAGAGUGGGUAACCCAAUCCUGGUCACAUUUUCA
ensembl:lncRNA